rnacentral:rRNA from 1 species
UGAGGGAAUAUUGGGUCAAUGGGCGCAGGCCUGAACCAGCCAAGUCGCGUGAGGGAUGACGGUCCUACGGAUUGUAAACCUCUGUUUUCGGUGACGAACAAAUGACGGUAACCGAGUAGGAAGCCACGGCUAACUACGUGCCAGCAGCCGCGGUAAUACGUAGGUGGCAAGCGUUAUCCGGAAUUACUGGGUGUAAAGGGAGCGCAGGCGGGAUAGCAAGUCAGCUGUGAAAACUAUGGGCUCAACCCAUAAACUGCAGUUGAAACUGUUAUUCUUGAGUGGAGUAGAGGCAAGCGGAAUUCCGAGUGUAGCGGUGAAAUGCGUAGAUAUUCGGAGGAACACCAGUGGCGAAGGCGGCUUGCUGGGCUCUAACUGACGCUGAGGCUCGAAAGUGUGGGGAGCAAACAGGAUUAGAUACCCUGGUAGU